rnacentral:lncRNA from 1 species
CUCAAUUAAUACCAUGUUACCUUUUAGUUAUUUGGAAGUGGAAAUAAUAAUAUAUCUUUACCACCAAUAGCUUCCUGAAAACAAGACAGCAGUGGACCAAUUAACUGAAUUGAGGAAGAAUCUAUCUUCUAUUAAUCCUUAUCAGUCCAUAUCAGACUGAUAUGCUUCCUGAUUCCUCUCUUCUCCUUUUCUCUUCUCCUUGUCCUUGCCUUUAUCCUCCUCCUCCUUCCUUCUCCUCCUUCUCCUUCUCCUUCUUCUCCUUCUCCUUCUCCUUCUCCUUCUCCUUCUCCUUCUCCUUCUCCUUCUCCUUCUCCUUCUUCUUCUUCUUCUUCUUCUUCUUCUUCUUCUUCUUCUUCUUCUUCUUCUUCUUCUUCUUCUUCUUCUUCUUCUUCUUCUUCUUACUCCAUUUCUGCUUUUUUCAUGUCUCUCUUUUUGUUUCUGUCUAUCUCUAACUUUCUUUCUUUUUCUUUCUCAGCCACGAGACCUCAUAUAGAGUUUAGCAGCACAAUAGGACUCCAUGUGAGUUGUGAUUUGAAAUCUGACUUCAUCUAUGUGCAUUCAUGUUGCUAUUGAGUCAUUUCAGUCAUGUCUAACUCUUCAAGAUCCCAUUUGGGGUUUUCUUGGCAAAGAUAAUGAAGUUUCUUUCCAUUUUUUUCUCCAGCUAUUUUUAUGAUGAGGAACCUGAGGCAAAUAGGGUUAAAUGGCUUGCCCAGGGUCACAUAGCUAAUAAGUUUCUGAGGAUGGAUUUGAAUUCAUGUCUUUCUGACUCCUUCACUGAGCCACCACCUACCUGCCUUUCAUUUACUUGAAUGAAUGCUUGUAGCCUUACAGUUUUAAGGUUAUUUCAAACAAUUAUUCUCUCAACUUGUAAACAUUACUUUUUGAGUUUUAUGUGUAUAACUAGGGUCACAACUGAUCCUAGGAUAUUUUGUAUGUAAUUGCCUAUGUGGAAUUAGAUGUGACUGGAUUGGUGGAGAGAAUACUGAAGCAUACCUGCAUAAGAAACCAAGCUGAGGCCAGGUCUUCUUGUGAGACAAAUAUGGGUAGUACUAGAAACUCUUUGGGAGAAAGAUGUAUAGAUAGAGAAAUACUCCAGGAAGUAUAUUGGAAAAGACAGGUAUGUAAGUGAAACUAGCUCAUAUGUGUUAGAUUUUCAGCUUUCUUUCCUGAAAAUUUCAGAGAAAUUCUCUUUGAAUGAGAUCAGG